AGAGAAAGGGGAGUUAGGGAUUUUCUACAUUUCUCUACAAUUCUCUCAUCCAUUCUUGAAAAUAAUACAUGAUUAUGGAGAGUUAAGAUAAUUAAAAAGGUUUAUGAUGAGCUACACUAAAUAUUUGAGUGAUCUAAGGGUUUUAAAGCUAGUGGAGGAAGAAUGAAGUGGGGAGAAAGGAAGAAGAAGGAGGGAGAAAAAAAGGGUGGUUUCACCUUGAGGAGAGUUGCCUAUGGGAGGACAAUAUCAAGGUCGUGCAUUCCGUGACCAGACUACAGGAGGAACUGCAAGAGGGGCACAACAGCAGCAAGGAAGCACGAGUCGAGCUUCUGCAGUAAGUUUUGGGAAGAAGUGUUAUGAUGGUAUUCUUGAUGGAGAAUGAUUAAAGGUGUUAAUGAAAUGGAGAUUAGCAUAUUGAAAGAAUUAUUCCUUCAGCCUUAAAAAUACGGAUGUUGGUUAAAAUUUAUGGAAUGAAAAAGGAGGGAAAUGUUUAGUGAUUCCUAGAACAAUGAACCUGGAAGUAUUAGAUGGAAUUUAGAUGGGGAAUUGUAAGAAAUUAUGAUAGUAGCAUUGUAUAUAUAUAUUUGUUUUCUCUUCUCUAUGAUAUUAUUGCUUUUAAUAUAAUUAUUUUCAAAUA